GAUGAACGCUGGCGGCGUGCCUAAUACAUGCAAGUCGAGCGAACAGAUGAGGAGCUUGCUCCUCUGACGUUAGCGGCGGACGGGUGAGUAACACGUGGAUAACCUACCUAUAAGACUGGGAUAACUACGGGAAACCGGAGCUAAUACCGGAUAAUAUAUUGAACCGCAUGGUUCAAUAGUGAAAGACGGUUUUGCUGUCACUUAUAGAUGGAUCCGCGCCGCAUUAGCUAGUUGGUAAGGUAACGGCUUACCAAGGCAACGAUGCGUAGCCGACCUGAGAGGGUGAUCGGCCACACUGGAACUGAGACACGGUCCAGACUCCUACGGGAGGCAGCAGUAGGGAAUCUUCCGCAAUGGGCGAAAGCCUGACGGAGCAACGCCGCGUGAGUGAUGAAGGUCUUCGGAUUGUAAAACUCUGUUAUUAGGGAAGAACAAAUGUGUAAGUAACUAUGCACGUCUUGACGGUACCUAAUCAGAAAGCCACGGCUAACUACGUG
rnacentral:rRNA from 1 species